rnacentral:lncRNA from 1 species
CCACUUGUCUCGAGUCUCUCAUUUACUUUUGUUGAAUUAUUUAUAUUUAGACUCGCAACAUCAUUUCCAUCACUUUACCACUGCUUUGGAUCGCUAAAAAUUUGCAGGCAUUCUACUCGAACCAUUCAAGAGACAAAAGGUUGAUUCAUGUGCUCCGUGUGGGAUUGAUACUCUUACUUUGAAAAAGCUACAACUAAACGUUGUGCACUUGUAGGACAUCAGUGACCCAUACAAGCCCCACGUGGUGAACUCACAGAUCAGAUGAUGACACGAUCUACGUGUUAGGUCAGCUCUUCGUCUUUGGCGCCAUGACUUUUGUCGCCGACUCGACCAACCACAUCGCCAAGUCGAGAACCACACUCUAGACCAUAUUGUUCAAUUUGGCAAUCUAGAGGACAUCGUGGAUUCACACAGCGAGCUUGUCCUCCAAGGCCUGCAUGGUGCAAGGAUGAGGGAAAUAUUCAGAAAGCGGAUCAUAUAUGACUCGCACUAGCUAUUUUCUGAUGUCUCAAAGUAAAAAAACGGGCAGGGCCAAUGUUCGGAAGGGCGGUUGCGGAGAAGCAAUGGAAGUCUCUUUGGAUGAUUAAGGCUCCUAAUAAAAUAAAAUGAAGGUAGUCUUGUGAGGGUAUGCUCAGAAUUGUUUACCUGGUGGUUCUCACUUUUUGCACCGUCAUGUACCUACAUCCGAGCUUUCUUGUUUUUGUGCCUGGUUCGAAUCUGUUGUGCAAGCUCUACUUUUUUGCCCAUAUGCUAGAGAUAUUUGGGAUGUAUCCUUCGGUGCGUUGUUCAGUUGGCACGGAAUGAAGAAAUUUCAGAUACUAUCUUUGCCUCCAAUUGUCUUUCCUUGGUACAGAGGCUAAACUCUUCAGCUUUAGAUCGUUCUCCAAUUGGUGCGGUGGUUGCUGACAUUAACCUCAUCUCUAGUGGCUUUGCUUCUAUGAUGUUCAAGCAUGUUUGUCGGCAUUGUAAUGUAGCGGCUCAUUUAUUAGCUAAAUCGUGUAUGUACUCUAUAAGUCUUAGUUUUUUUUAUAUGUCCCAGAUUGUAUCUCAGGAACUCUGUGUAAUUUGAUUGAUUGAUUAAUACAACAUUCUCUAGAAGAAAACUCUAACAAGGAACACGCUAGCUUAGCGUAGAGGUGUUCCAAAGAUCCAUGAUCAAACAAACAAAAACACAAAAAUAAUUCCCAGAUUUUGAGAAGAGGUGGUGCCAAUCAAACGAGAGCAACCUCCGUCAUGAGUUUCAUGAGAGUAUCUACAACCAGGAUUACCUAAUUUGGUGCUAUAUACACCUGCAGGCGUGUCCGCUGGCAGUACCCGAAUAGUAGCCAAUUUUCCCUAUCCACAAUCACAAACAUCAAAUUCAGAUACCCUAUUUCAUACAAAACCAUGCAGUCUACGUAGACCAUAUAAAUAGCAUAAAACUUGAGCAAUUCGGACAUCAGACAUGCAAUUAGUUCAUCCAAAAGGGCCGAGAUAGUCCAAAUUGAACCUAAAAUGAACACCUGAGAGUUGCGGGCACGAGCACCCACCGUUGGCUGGGCGGUGCUAGCGCCAGAGGGGAAGGGGAGAACCUGUUUCGGAUCUAGAGCAGCGCGAAGAUAGAAGGGCGAGCACGGGACGGGCAGGUGUGGUUGGCAUUCCGCGGAGCUAGAAGGGUGGGCGCGGCUAGCAUUCUGCCGGAGGGAUGAGGAGGAGCUUGUUGUGGGCGCGAUGGAGCCCCGCCGAUGUCGACGCGCGACCGCUGGAUGGCGAUGCGGAGCGCGAGCGCCUCCUCGUCAGAUUCCUCCUUCACUAGACCGUCCAGUCCAUGGGGCGGCCUCUACCGGAGUCCUGACAGAAGUUGGCCAUGGCUGAUAGGAGGGGAAGGGUUUGGGAUGAAUCGGAGGAGUCAAGGGAAACGGAUAAGAUAAGUGUGGACUGAAAAAAUGGGUUUUACUAGGGUUUCAUCCGAUGGGGUGGGGCAUUUGUGGGGGCAUAAGUGGG